ACGUCCGUAGCUCAGCUGGUUAGAGCACCACCUUGACAUGGUGGGGGUCGGUGGUUCGAGUCCACUCGGUCGUACCA
rnacentral:tRNA from 1 species